GACCAUCAUCUUAUCGUGAUUGUUUACACGUAUUGAAGUAAAUAACAAACAAUAUAGUUCAUAAGUACACAACAAUAUUUAAACUUCGAGUUAAUAAUAGACAGUAAAGUUCCCAAAUACCUGUUCAAUAUUUAAAUCGCAUAUAUGUCAUGUAUGUUAAGUGUGUUAUUGAUACUUGUGUAACUAAAUGAGACAAAGAAUACACACAACAAACAGU
rnacentral:lncRNA from 1 species